AUACGAAGGGGGCUAGCGUUGUUCGGAAUCACUGGGCGUAAAGCGCGCGUAGGUGGAUCAAUUAGUUGAGGGUGAAAUCCCGGGGCUCAACCUCGGAACUGCCUUCAAUACUGUUGAUCUUGAGACCGAGAGAGGUGAGUGGAAUUCCUAGUGUAGAGGUGAAAUUCGUAGAUAUUAGGAAGAACACCAGUGACGAAGGCGGCUCACUGGCUCGGUACUGACGCUGAGGUGCGAAAGCGUGGGGAGCAAACAGGAUUAGAAACCCCAGUAGUCC
rnacentral:rRNA from 1 species